ACGCUGGCGGCGUGCUUAACACAUGCAAGUCGAACGGUGAACACGGAGCUUGCUCUGUGGGAUCAGUGGCGAACGGGUGAGUAACACGUGAGCAACCUGCCCCUGACUCUGGGAUAAGCGCUGGAAACGGCGUCUAAUACUGGAUAUGUGACGUGACCGCAUGGUCUGCGUUUGGAAAGAUUUUUCGGUUGGGGAGGGGCUCGCGGCCUAUCAGCUUGUUGGUGAGGUAAUGGCUCACCAAGGCGUCGACGGGUAGCCGGCCUGAGAGGGUGACCGGCCACACUGGGACUGAGACACGGCCCAGACUCCUACGGGAGGCAGCAGUGGGGAAUAUUGCACAAUGGGCGAAAGCCUGAUGCAGCAACGCCGCGUGAGGGAUGACGGCCUUCGGGUUGUAAACCUCUUUUAGCAGGGAAGAAGCGAAAGUGACGGUACCUGCAGAAAAAGCGCCGGCUAACUACGUGCCAGCAGCCGCGGUAAUACGUAGGGCGCAAGCGUUAUCCGGAAUUAUUGGGCGUAAAGAGCUCGUAGGCGGUUUGUCGCGUCUGCUGUGAAAUCCCGAGGCUCAACCUCGGGCCUGCAGUGGGUACGGGCAGACUAGAGUGCGGUAGGGGAGAUUGGAAUUCCUGGUGUAGCGGUGGAAUGCGCAGAUAUCAGGAGGAACACCGAUGGCGAAGGCAGAUCUCUGGGCCGUAACUGACGCUGAGGAGCGAAAGGGUGGGGAGCAAACAGGCUUAGAUACCCUGGUAGUCCACCCCGUAAACGUUGGGAACUAGUUGUGGGGUCCAUUCCACGGAUUCCGUGACGCAGCUAACGCAUUAAGUUCCCCGCCUGGGGAGUACGGCCGCAAGGCUAAAACUCAAAGGAAUUGACGGGGACCCGCACAAGCGGCGGAGCAUGCGGAUUAAUUCGAUGCAACGCGAAGAACCUUACCAAGGCUUGACAUAUACGAGAACGGGCCAGAAAUGGUCAACUC
rnacentral:rRNA from 1 species